AAGUCGUAACAAGGUUUCCGUAGGUGAACCUGCGGAAGGAUCAUUAUCGAGAGAGGGGGCUUCGCGCUCCCGGGGGUUUCGGCCCCCAGCUCUUCACCCAUUGUCAACUUACCCUUGUUGCUUUGGCGGAUUCCGGGGUAUGUCUUGCGUAGGUUUGUCAUAAACCCGUGCGAGAUGUGCCCCGGCGCCCGCCGGAGGCCCAUUAAAAUCUGUUUAUCAGUGAUGUCCGAGUAAAAAACCAAUAAUAAAAA
rnacentral:misc_RNA from 1 species